rnacentral:rRNA from 1 species
CUUGGUCAUUUAGAGGAAGUAAAAGUCGUAACAAGGUUUCYGUAGGUGAACCUGYGGAAGGAUCAU